rnacentral:rRNA from 1 species
AUUGAACGCUGGCGGCAGGCCUAACACAUGCAAGUCGAACGAGUAGCGGACGGGUGAGUCGUGUAUGGACAACUGCCUGAUGUAGGUGUCUAACUACUGGAAACGGUAGCUACUACCGCAUACCAUCGUAUGGGGCCCGGUUGUAUGAGCUAGUAGGUGGGGUAACGGCUAACCUAGUCGACGAUCCCUAGCUGGUCUGAGAGGAUGAACAGCCACACUGGAACUGAGACACGGCCCAGACUCCUACGGGAGGCAGCAGUGGGGAAUAUUGCACAAUGGGCGAAAGUCUGAUGCAGCAAUGCCGCGUGUAUGAAGAAGGUCUUCGGGUCGUAAAGUACUUGCAGCGGGGAGGCGUUACCCGAAGAAGAAGCAACGGCUAACUCCGUGCCAGCCGCCGCGGUAAUAC